AUAUGAAUCACUGAGCACCUUGUUAAAAAGCAGAUUCAAAUUUAGUAGGUUGGGUAGAGUUUGAGAGUCUGCAUUUCUACCAAGCUUCCAGGAAUGCUGCUAAU
rnacentral:miRNA from 1 species